AAAUUGAAGAGUUUGAUCAUGGCUCAGAUUGAACGCUGGCGGCAGGCCUAACACAUGCAAGUCGAACGGUAACAGGAAGCAGCUUGCUGCUUCGCUGGCGAGUGGCGGACGGGUGAGUAAUGUCUGGGAAACUGCCUGAUGGAGGGGGAUAACUACUGGAAACGGUAGCUAAUACCGCAUAACGUCGCAAGACCAAAGAGGGGGACCUUCGGGCCUCUU
rnacentral:rRNA from 1 species